GGGUGUAUAGUCUAAUGUUAAGACGCGAGUCGGCUAAGCUCGAGAUAGAGGUUCGAAUCCUCUUGCAUCCUCCA
rnacentral:tRNA from 1 species